rnacentral:rRNA from 1 species
UCUAUGGCCAUACCACCCUGAAUGCACCCAAUCUCGUCUGAUCUCGGAAGCUAAGCAGGGUCGGGCUUGGUUAGUACUUGGAUGUGAGACAAAUAAAUUUAUCUCACCAAUUUGAAACCUUAACCUAACAUGAGGU